GGUAACAGCAUCUCUAACGUUUGUUUGCGGAUGGCGAUAAUAUUAUAGAAGAAGAGCCACAAUAACAACACAGCUCGUUUGCCUUCACAGCAAAGAACCUCCUGGUUUUCACCAAUCAGCGUGCCAGAAUGGACAUUUGGACUCUGACCCCUCCAACCCAAGGUCAGAGUGUUUUAGUCGUCAGAAGAAGAAGACUCAAGUUGAUUGUGUUUACUAGGAAGAUUGAGCAUCUAAGAAAGUACAUCACGUGCUGCCGCCUAGAGAGAGAUGUUAAUAUACAUCAGUGGAGGCUGCUGAGGGGAGGACGGCUCAUAAUAAUGGCUGGUUGGCACCAGACACAGAUCAGGCUUCGGGACAAGUCUCUGAAUGUCCUUGAGUGGCCCUGCCAGAGCCCGGACUUGAACCCGAUCGAACAUCUCU